UGGUCACACCCGCCGUGUGCUCUUUGUCUAAUAUAAGAAAAACGGAAAAAUCCGUCUUCUAUGAUAUUUAAAAAAUAAAAACAAUCAUGUUUUACAAAAAAAAAUAUUUUGCUCUCCUGGUAAUAUUCUUAAGAUGUUUUUCCCCCAACAAUGUUUUUCUCUGAUUUGAAAAUUGACCAGUGAGUCAAUUUAAUAUUUGAUAAUUCAUUAUUUAGGUAAGCUGCAAUUACUUUUCUAUGUUGUUCUGAAGUAGCUAAGAGUUGCCUUUUUUCUAUAUCUAGUCUCCGUUACCAUGGUAACGGUAGCCGUAAGUAACAACAUUACGACAUCUUGCGACUUAUUACAUCAAUAUGUAUCAUUGCAGGCAAUAUAGAGAAAUCUGACACUAUGUCUGCCUAAACCUAUAUGUACAACUCUGAUUUUUACAUAGAAUUGAUCUUAAGAAAUUAUGUCAUAUUUGUCUCAAUAUACAUCUUUUUCAUUACGUGUGCAUGAGGUAUUUAUUGUUUUGUGUUGUUUAAAUGCUAGUUCUAAUGGUACAUGCAUUUUCAAAAGCGUGUAGCCAUUUACAUUAUGAUGUAUAGAAGCAACAAAUGAACUAUCAUCUAAGACUUAAAACAAGUGCUGGAAAUUGUGUCUGGAUUUUAUUUUAUAAUUGCAAAAAGCAUUAUGUCUAUAUCUUUUCGUUUUUGUUCAAUAAAUAUUUUAUACAUUG
rnacentral:misc_RNA from 1 species